rnacentral:tRNA from 2 species
GGGCAGUUAGCUCAGCGGUAGAGCAUUGCCUUCACACGGCAAGGGUCACAGGUUCGAUCCCUGUACUGCCCACCA